rnacentral:rRNA from 1 species
AGUGAACGCUGGCGGCAGGCCUAACACAUGCAAGUCGAACGGCAGCACAAGAGAGCUUGCUCUCUGGGUGGCGAGUGGCGGACGGGUGAGGAAUGCAUCGGAAUCUGCCCAUUUGUGGGGGAUAACCUCGGGAAACCGGGACUAAUACCGCAUACGACCUACGGGUGAAAGCAGGGGAUCUUCGGACCUUGCGCAGAUGGAUGAGCCGAUGCCGGAUUAGCUAGUUGGAGGGGUAAAGGCCCACCAAGGCGACGAUCCGUAGCUGGUCUGAGAGGAUGAUCAGCCACACUGGGACUGAGACACGGCCCAGACUCCUACGGGAGGCAGCAGUGGGGAAUAUUGGACAAUGGGCGCAAGCCUGAUCCAGCCAUGCCGCGUGUGUGAAGAAGGCCUUCGGGUUGUAAAGCACUUUUGUUGGGAAAGAUAAGCAGCCGGUUAAUACCCGGUUGUCAUGACGGUACCCAAAGAAUAAGCACCGGCUAACUUCGU